rnacentral:lncRNA from 1 species
CUCUCAGAUCUUACUGCCUCAGCAAUCAUUGCAUCAACCACAACAUCUGCCAUGGCAGAGCCCAGGUUCUGCACUGUCAAGAGGACUGUGAGAUGCCAUUGGGAACUCCUCAAGUUGGAAUCUAUGCCUAGCAUAGGCCAGGGAACUAGAGAGAGAAGAGUUGCAAUUACUAGGUAUGGUAUCCUUUUCCUUCCUUUUAUCGGGAUGCAAUCAGACAAAAUUCUGCAAGCAGGAUGCAAGUUAAGGCAAUAUAAAGAAGCUGCCAAAACUGCUACUCCGUUAGGAAAUUACCAAUGCCCUACAACACAACAGAUUCUUUCACUAUAAACUAGAGCAUUUCAACACCAAGACUUUUCUUAUCUGCCUUCAUUCUUUAAGCUGCACCAUAGGCCUGUCAAGAAAUUGAACAGAAGAAAGAAACAUACCCGUAUAAUGGCUUUAUGCUCCACGGGAAAAAUGCUAUCGAAGACACGAAUUGUGAGGCUGAUGGUGACAGCUUAAGAUUGUCUUUUAGCUGAUAGGAAACUGCUGUCCAUACAAAGGAUCUAAAACCCUACACUCUCAUGUUAUAGAAACACCGUUGUUAAGUUGGACAUCAAAUUGUUCAAUAAUAAAAACAUCAGCAACUUGAAGAUUACUUGCAAAAUCCUAACAAGACCCCAGAGGAACUAGGUCGUAACAUUUUAAUAGAACACCACAUAUUAUGCAAGAGUAGAUUAUCCAAUUGGUAUAGAAAGGCUUUGGACUAUUUAGAAAUUUUAAGCAACAUGUUAGAAGUACUUAUUUUUCUUCCAAAAAACAAAAAACCCUUCACAUGCAAGAGGCACAAACCAAAGAGCCAAAUUCCCAUUACCUUAAUUUAUGUUUUAUUUUCUUUAAGAGCAAAAACCAGGAGAAAUGUUGCUCUUAAAAGCAAAAAAGGCUAACUUCAAAAUUCCAUGCAAACUACAACAUUCUCAAAAAAUAAAGAAGGACAAGAAAUUUCUUAAGAACAUCAGUUCCAUCUGGAUUUCCAAAGCCCCUAAAAUAUUCAAAAAUCAACAAACCCACAAAAACCCAGAAACCAAAAACAACAAAGUUACAAACUCUGACGUCUCCUCUUUCUUUUUAUCAAAAAAUAAAACAACCGAUUUCACAAAAACCCCAACCGAUCAACUUCCUAUAGAGCUCAUCAAAUUUGAUCCAACAAUCAUCAAAGCAGGCAAAAAGAGAAAGAUCAUCCAAUCAAAGUGGGCAAAAAGAGAGAAAAAGAAACCUGAGUGAAGUGAAUCAAGCAAACAAGCCAUAAAAAUGAAGCCCCAAAUGCCUUGUUCAGCUGCUUCACCCAUUCUAUCAUCUUUCGAACACCAAAAAACAAACAAAUGUCUUUAAUUCUCAUCAAGUCUUCACUUUCUUGAUUUUAUCAAUGUUUUUCUUAUGGCAUGAUCACCGCAAUAUUAUGAAAAAUGGAGGUGGUAUUUAUUAUAAUUAACAGGUUACAAAGUGGUCAAAAAUUUAUUCUAAUUUUGAAAAACAAAAUCUCCAAUUCAUACAACUGGAAUUCGAUUCACUUUUAAAAAACUCACCCAACUCAAAUUCGAGUCUUGCACGCCUGUUUUUCCUUUAGGUUUAAUGCUGCCGGCCGCACCCAAAGAAUCAUUUUGAUGCUUUUAAUGCUUAGAACCUGCUCUGCUUUUCCUUUAAGCUUAGUGUCUCAUCGGCUUGGAAAUAGUUAGGAAACAGGACAAGAGGCAAUUUAGCUUGCACAGCCGACUUGCACAGUUGGUUUUCAUGGCUUUUGAGAAAUCCUUUGUUCUUCAUUUUUAAUAUUAUUGCUCUCUUUUCCCCGGGUAGUAAACAUUAUAUUUUUUUAUUCUAGUGUUAAAUUAAUAAUUUUAUUGCACAAUAAAAAUUAAAAUCACUAAUCUAACCGUUUAUAAUUCAUAAAAAACAAUUUAAAAAAAUAAUCAAGGAAAAUUUUAUCAUUUCACUAAUCCCGGAUACAAGAACUUCUCUUCAUUUUUUUUAGUUUUUUAUUUUUUUAUUCUAGUGUUAAAUUAAUAAUUUUAUUGCACAAUAAAAAUUAAAAUCACUAAUCUAACCGUUUAUAAUUCAUAAAAAACAAUUUAAAAAAAAUAAUCAAGGAAAAUUUUAUCAUUUCACUAAUCCCGGAUACAAGAACUUCUCCUUCACUUUUAGUUUUUUAGGUUUUUUUAAUUUUAAUUUAAUUCAAUAAACCUCCAUAUAUACGGGAUUCCUACAUGUCUUCAGAUUAGUUUAUGAAUAACUGAGGUUAAAUAUUUUCUAAAACAAAUUCUAGAAUAGACCCUCGUAUGAAUCUAGUACAUCAGAAAUAAUUAAAUUAGCUUUCAACUAAAUUAACCAUUUAAUGCAACAAAAACAAAACAAUGAAAAAAAAAGUAAGAACAUAGCCAAAGCCACUGACAAGAUAAGUCAUAUCUAAGAUUGCAUUUGACAGAAUAAAUAUAUACAGAAAAGACAGAACAUAUUUAGUUGAAAAAGAAUGAAAUAAAAACAUGGAAGGCAUAAUUUUAAAGUGAAUUUACUUUUCAAAACCAAUAGAAAAACAUGUUCGUUCUAUACUUUCUAUCUCAAGAGAAUAAUUAAACAUCAACGCUACCCGAAGGCACUAACUGCACUUUUCUGGUACCACGGGGAUAGCGACCUGGCUCUUGGCUUUCCAUAAACACCGCACCAGUAAAUUUUUAAGAGAGAGACACAGCCGAAGAAGAGAAAUAAAGAGAACGGAACCGAACUUUGUCUUAGACUCAAAGUAUAUAUAUUCUGAUAUAACCUGUAUUCAACAAUCAGAGUGGCGCAGCGGAAGCGUGGUGGGCCCAUAACCCACAGGUCCCUGGAUCGAAACCAGGCUCUGAUAGUUGAGUAGCUUCCUCCGCUCCUGAAACCUUUUUCGUUUAAUCGCCCUCCUACUAUUUGUUUUUAUUUGCAACGAGGUCCCUCCUUUUAUUUUCUGCAUUUAAGCCCUUGUCAUUUGUGUGAAUCCAUUUCAAUUUGUAAUUCUCGCGUGCGGACAGUUUUUUUAAAAAAAAAACGUUAGGGUAAAAAAAUUCAAAGUUAUUAAUUUAAAUGAUAUGAGUGAAAAAAAAUAAUAAUAAAUAAAAUAUCAAUGAAAAAAAAAAAACCGGACUUAAUCCCACUUGAGAAUUAUUAAACAAUUUAAUGUUGAAAAGUGAAAUUAUAAAAAAAAAAUUAAAACAUAAUCUUUAUUAAAUAAGGUGAAAUCGCUCGCAAUCAUGGGUAUGAGUUAGGAUAAUAUGAUAUAAAGAAAAAAAGUUUGAAUUAUGAAACUUAUCAAUUUUUUUUUAAAAAAAGAAAAAACAAAAGUGAAACCGCAUUAACAUUUAAAACUGGUGAUUUUAUUCAUAAAUUUGAGGGCUAACCUUAUUGAAGACAAACGAUAAAAAAUAACAAAGCACAACUUAAAAAAGGGAUAAGAAAUAACAAAACAUCAUCCUAAAAAAUAAGGACUUAAACCAACUCGGAGUAAACAUUUUAAACUUGAUCUAAUCUGUAAAAUUCACAACCUGCAAAAUCUUAGAUUCGGGUUUAAUUAAGAAGCUUAAAUCCUAACUAAUUUAAUUUUGAAUAAUGAAAUCGUGAAAAGAUAUUAAUAAAAAAAUAUAAAAGCAAAAAAAAAAAUUGCAACAAAAAAAAUCGCUAAAAAACCAAGUAGAUUCGGAGUGAAUCUUCUAAAACAUGGUCUAUUCUUUAAAAUUGAUAAUCUAAUUUUAAAGGAUGAAAUCAUAAAAAAAAUAUUAAUAAAAAAAAACUUGCAAAAAAAAGAUAAACAAAAAACAAAUGAGGAUAAAUCAAAACUUGCUGGAAAAAAAAUGAGGAUGGCAUUGUAAGAAAAAAAUUAGAAAAUGAUCACAAAAAAAAAAUCAAAAUAAUAGGAAACAAAUUUAAAAGAUUAAAAAAUAAUGAGUGAAAUUGAAAAUAUUUGUAAUUUAUUAGAUUAUUUAAAGAUUAAAAACUGCAGGGGUGAGAUUGAAAAAUAUCUAUGAUUUUAUAGAUAAUUCCAAAAUAAAAAAUAAUAAUGAAAAAGGAAAUGGACAAAAUAUGAAGGAAAUAAUGAAUUGUAGAGGUUGAUCUCAAUUUUUAAGGGGUUAGUAUAGAAUUCAAGGUGCAGAGAGAGAGAGGUGGGGGGGGGGGGGGGUAUUAGCGCUAAACUCGAUGAACAUUUAGGACACACGACACCCCAUUAUGUUGAGGAAGCCAAGAUCUUUAAAAUACCACUAUAAAAAAAUAGUGUUUGGUGGCCAAAUAGCGUUAUAUAGUCAGUAAGUUUUUAAAUAGUAUUUUGUAUAUAUCAUUUACAACAUAGCCAGCGCCAGUGGCAAGAUAUAUUAUUUUUUAUUUCUUUAUAAAUAACAAAUCCAAUUUUCUCUCAUUUAUUUAUUUUUAAGAUGGAUUGGUGUUAUAAUAUAACAUUUGGACACGCAAUUACAUUGCGAUCCUUGUUCAAUAAUCAACAUUGAUCACCAUGUCAGCCAUUUGUUUCCCAACAUGUUUCAUGCAGAGUGUUGAUAAUACCUCAAACUUCAUAUCUAAGAUUGCAUUUGACAGAAUAAAAAAUACAGAAAGGACAUAACAUGUUGAGUUGAAGAAAUAAAAACAUUAAAGACAUAAUUUUGAAGUGAAUUUACUUUCAAAAUCAACAGAAAAACAUGUUCGUUCUACCCUUUCUAUCUAUCUUUUCCAUCUCAAGACAAUAACUAAACAUCAACGCUGCCCGAAGGCACUAACUGCACUUUUCUGGUACCACAGGGAUAGCAACCUGGCCCUUGCUUUCCAUAAACACAGCACCAGUAAUAAUUUCUGUAUUUCUGAUUUAACUGAUCAAAAUUGUUCUACAAACCUUGUACAUCAGUGUAUCAUCAUCAAAACCAAAGGUUAAUUUGAGAACUAUAAAUCAAAGGCACCUAUUUCUUUCAAUCUUCAAGAGUGCAUUUCGUAUAUCCCAGCUGCUACUAGAAUUAUGAAGUAUCCCUACCUAUGCUGAUAUCCCUGUGGCUUCUUUUGGUAUCAAAAAUAGAAAAGCAAUUGGAAUGAAAGUGCACAGGACUUGGAUAGCAAUGCCCAAACCAAGGUUGUCAAAAGAUCCCGAGGAGAGGUUCAAAAUUGAGGCCAACCCUGCACCCACAAAAGAUCCCAGUGUCGAACCUAAGUUGUUUAUUGACAUAAAGAGGGCAAAUAGUGUUCCUUCAAUUCCUGGCGGACAUAACUGUCCAGAUAAUAUAAGGAAUGGCAUUAACCUGCAGAGACAGACCAGAAAUGUGAGAAAAGAAUUUGGUCGAGGGUGCAUUUAAAGAUUUAUGGACAGAUAGGUUAUGUGAGGAGUGAUAUAUGGGUGCACGAGAGCGUGUAUGUGUGUGAGCGAGCUCAUCCAUACAUUCAUGAAACAUCACGCAUAUGAUUUUCUUUUUUCCUCAUGAGAGCUUGCAUGUGAUUUCUGGAUCUGGAAUCCAAAAUCAAGUCUCCUUUUUCUUUGUUUUGAGGGAGAUACAGGUAUUAACUUCAAAAUAAAUUAAUAGAAAAGCUAGAAACUUUGGAGAAAAUGAACGUACUUGAAUUGAUUAACAACAUCGGAAAGGGCAGAUCCGAAGACAACCAUGAUCUUAUCUGAAACUCCAUAGGCAAGAUUCAAUCGAGACACUAAAAUUACAUCUAGGAGGGUCAACAAAGACAGCCCAACAUGAGCCCACCUGCAUAAGCAUAUUAAGCGCAUUAGUAGAAGAAUGUUUCUUGAAAAUGUAUUCAGCUUGUAAGCACUCACAAGAGAAUCUUCCGUAGUUUCAUGGUUUUUAGUAGCGAUUGUACGUGAAGGUUCUAGCAUGAGGCCUAACCAUCCAACAACGCGUGCAGUCCCCAAAAGGAUGCAUCCAAGUUCAAGACCUCUGUCUGGUAAUAGAACAUGACUGUUGAGGUUUGGAACAGUUAAUCUGUGCUAGGAAAACAAGCUUGGUCUGGUUCUCAAAGACCAAAGUAAACCCAAAAUCAAUAGUUAGGAUAAGCUAAAUUGAUACAGGGUAGGGUUAUUAAGCAGCAUUACACCUAAAUUAGGUGGAAAAAAAUCUGGCAAAAUACAAAUAAUCAAGCAUUUAUUCUGUGGUCUAUUCUGGAUCAUUGACAAUCAUAUAUUUAUAUUCAAAGUGAAAACAUCAUCUCUUUGGCUGGUUAACAUGCUAAAUCUAAGGAGGGCAUACAUGCACAUGAACUUCAAAUUCUACAGAAAUUCAACUGACUAUUAUAAAAGGUUUGGUAGUUACCUCAAAUGAUUGGUGCCUAAAAGCACGUAACAAACUGCAAGUAGCUGUUUUCAGAGAGUGGAACCACGUGAUAUUAAAGGAAUCACCUUCUCAGGUCGGGGAUUUAGUCUCAUGCUUGCCUUCUUGUUGCUAUUCUUUUGGCUCUCUCUUCUUCUAGCACUUGCACUGGACUUCUUCAGCAAGUAUUAUCUUGGUCCAAAAUAUUACCAUUCCCAUUCACUGGAUGGGAGUUGCUUUGAAUUGGCAGACUCAUGGGAAAACUUUACUGGCUGCAGAAUUCUCCCAACCAAACCACAUGAUAAUAACUUUAUAGCUGGCAGUACAGAAAAAGGAGGAAAUCUUGUCUAUUUGUAAGUUGGUCAAUGCAUGUCCUCCUAACAAACUGCCCCAAAUUCACCCAUGCCAUUGACAACCAAGAUAUGGACUGCAGAUCUCCAGCAAAUGAUGCCCUGUUCAAUGGUACGGUAAGCUUUCACUUCUAAUUUUUUUUUUAAACUAAAUUGCCUUUUGAGAGAACAAUCCAACAAAUGGGAGACCAUCCAGAUUUUCUUGGGCAUAUGGAGAGGUAUGCCCUAAAGGGAAAGCUCCACUCAUUCACUUUUUUUAUAAUAAAAUCCAAGUUAACACAAUAGACGUUAGGUUGCAUUGCCAAUUGCUUCCUGCUUUGUCAACCAACAAAAUACGAAUAGGUUGUAGCUAAUUGUGUGUACCUAAAAAUGAUUGAAAGUCAAUACCGAAUUAGUUGAAAAUGUGCUUAGAUUUGCUUUAAAAGACAGCACGCAACAAACCUCUCAGAUCUUACUGCUUCAGCAAUCAUUGCAUCAACCACAACAUCUGCCAUGGCAGAGCCCAGGUUAUGCACUGUCAAUAGGACUGUGAGAUGCCAUUGGGAACUCCUCAAGUUGGAAUGUAUGCCUAGCAUAGGCCAGGGAACUAGAGAGAGAAGAGUUGCAAUUACUAGGUAUGGUAUCCUUUUCCUUCCUUUUAUCGGGAUGCAAUCAGAC